rnacentral:lncRNA from 1 species
UAUGUGGUAAAGCCGAAUGGCUAGUGUGAAAUAUGUGUGAGAUAUGUAUAUGUGGUAAAGCCGAAUGGCUAGUGUGAAAUAUGUAAGAGAUGUGUGUAUAUUGUGGCCGAAUGACCAAAUGUGAAAGGUGUGUAUUAUUAGAUAUUUGAUGAGGCAAAUGAAUUACAAAUAUGACAGUCGAUGUGAAUGUUGUAACAUGUGAUUAAAUGUACAUGAAACUUGGA